GUUAGCGCGAGACAGUUCCACUGCCUCCUUUUCGACUCGCCUCGCUCCCAGGCCAGAGGGCUGCACUGCUCCGUGCUGUUCGGCGAGCUUUUCUAGGGACUGUGUUACUUGAUGACCACAAUGAAAAAUAGGAGCCAAGAUGAUAUGGUGACGGGCACACUCCCCAAGCUCAAGAGCUCCAAAGAAUGGUUGGAACCACAGUCGCUUUCUUUUAUGGAGGCUUUAGCUAAAGAAGAUACUGAUGCAGCUGUUCAAUCAAUUUUAUAUAGAGAAAAUUAUAUUAUGAAGGAACUAGAUAAGUAUUUACAUCAUCAAGACUUCUUAAACACAAGAAGAAAAGAGAUGCUGUAUAAAAAGUGGGUUGAACGUGUGGCAGAUCCUCUCCAGAAGAAAAUUAUAGAAAAAGUUCAUUCACAUAAGAACAUUAAAAAGAGGAGACGUCAAGAAUUAGACAAUUUUUUGAAACAUUCAAAUAAGAAGGGAAAUGCAUUUAUAGAGCAUUAUGAUCCAAAAGAAUAUGAUCCUUUUUAUAUGAGCAAAGAGGACCCCAAUUUUCUGAAGGUUAUCAUGCCACCGUUUCGUGACCCCUUGAAAAAAGCCCAAUAUGACCAGGAUGAUGAAAAAAGAACCCUUCUGCAGUGUGAGACUGGCAAAAUCUAUACAAUGAAAGAAUUUAAAGAGAUCGAGAAGGCCCAGUUGCAUUCCAGAUUCCCGAGUAUUUCUAAUUCAAGGCAAAGUAUGACUCCAAAUGGAUGGCUUAAAGUGCCCAUGAGUUAUAUAGAAAGUGAAUUUUGUAAAAAGAGCAGGUAAUAAUUGACAUGAUAGAAGGUGUGGUCUUCUCAGACAUUGAAAUUCUUUCUUGAGAUAGUGUUAUAUUUCAGUAAUGAUUUUUAAAAUAAAGUCUAUUGUGAUUCAUUGUUCCUCCGUAUGUGAUAUUUUUCUUGGGCACUCUCAAGAGUCUCCAGCCCUUGUUUUAUCAGACAGACUCUGAGGUAUCUGAGCUUAUUUCCUUUUCCUCUUAGAGUCUUCUGACAUUUUUGUGUUUGUCAUUAUAUAUAAUAGUUCAUUAAUUUGGGGGGAGGCUAGACCAUUAUCACUUCAAAUAUUUCUUAGGGACAAGUCUAUCUAUUUGUGGCUGUGGAUAAUGCCCUCAGGUCUGUAAGUCUUUGAUAUAGGUUGACUUUACCUUUUCUUCUCAUGUUUUGGUUAGAUGAUUUCUACUGAGCUAUCUGCAAGUCCAUUGAGUGUCCUUGUGUGUGCUGAUGAACCAUCAAAUACAUCAUCUGUGACAUCACGAUAUUUGGCAUUUCCAUUAGAUUUUUUUUAUAGUUUUUACCUUUUCUGAAAUUCUUCAUCCAUUGAUAUACACUGUCCACUUUUUCAACCAGAUUCUUUUCAAAAGCCAUACUAAUCUAGUUACUUUAAUUUCUAAUUUGAUAGAUCCAACAUUAGAUCAUUUCUGAAUUGGUUCAGUCCGGUUCUGUUGAUUGCUCUGUAUCUGCACUAGGCAUUUUAUUUUACCUAUUUUGCAUGUCUUAUAAUUUUAUAAUUUAAAAUUUUUAUGUAUAUGGGUGUUUUGCCUGCAUGUCUGUUUAUACAUUAGGUGUGUGCCUGGUGUCUACAGAGGUCAGAAGAGGGUAUUGGAUACUCUGAGCCUGGAGUUAAAUGUGAGGUACCAUGUGGGUGCUGGGCAUUGAACCUGGGUCCCCUGGAGGAUAGCCACUGUGCUUAACUGCUUAGCCAUCUCUCCUUCCCAAUGUUUUGUUUGUGUGUUUGCUUUUUGAGACAGGUUCCCACUGUUUCCAGGGCUGGUCUGGAACUCCUCAUGUACAUCAGAUUAGCCUCAAAUUUAACUCUAGAGAUCUUCCUGCCUCUGUUUCUAAGUGCUGAGUUUAAAGGCAUGCACCAGCACACCUGACCUUAGAUUUAGAUUUUAAAAAUUCAAUAUUAGACAUUUAGGGUGGAAAAAUAGUACAGACUCAGUAUUUUUCUUUAGAAACUGACCUGCCUCUUUUGUCACACAGCAGCAUUGGGAGACUUGGUUUAUUGGUCAGAAGAUCUAAGUUUGGGUAUUCUUAUAGUUGUUGUCUCUAGUAGUAUAUGGAUUUUAAGAAACAAAGAUUUAUUUUAUUUAUUUAUAUGUGUAUGAAAGUAUGCAAUGUGUGUGCUGCUCAUAGAAGCUAGGAGAGGGUGUCAGAGACUCUGGAGCUGAAGUUUUAGGCAGUUGUGAACUGCCUAUGUAGGUGUCGGGAAUUGAACCUGGGUCCUCUGAAAGAGAAGCCAGCACUUUUUAUGGCUGAUCUAUCUCUCCAGACCCCUGGACAGUUUGUUUUAGAAAGAUGUUGUUAUUUCUACUUUAUGUGUAUAUGGGUGAGCCUGCACGUGGAUCUGUGAGCAUGGGUGCAGGUUCCUGCAGAGUCUAGAAGAGAGUAUUGGCCAUCCUGGUGCUGGUGUUACAAGGUAACAGUGAGCUGUCAGAGUGGCUGUUGGGAAACAAGCCAGUCCUCUGGAGAAGACUUAGCAGUCCAGCUAUUUCUCCAGCCCCAAGAUUUUGGUUUUGUUGGUUUGUUUUUCAGUAGGGAUGUUGUGUGAGGGUCUCAGGAUAAUGGUGGAAAAAUAAAAUAAAAACAUUGAUGUGAUAAAAGAAAAGAUUUAUAUAGCUUCAGUACUUGGAGGGCCAAAAAGAAAGUCAGAGAAAAUUGGAAGUUGGAGCAUGUAUCCCAAAAUGGAGGGCAUCGUGCUUAUUGGCCACUAAUACUGAACCAGGCCUGCUCUACCACACCUGGCUUUAUGACUUCUUUUUACGUUAGAGUAUAAGCUCCCUGAGGAUAGAGGGGGGAUUUCAACUUUGCCCACCUAAUCUUGGUUCUCAGAGAACAAAGAACACAUCAGUCUUCAUUAGGGGUUUAAAACCUCUUAAGCAACUAGUAUCACUGAAAAGGCACAGCAGUGUCAAGUAAUGGUAUUUUGAACCAUAUUUAUGGCAGUCAGUUUCUAGCAAUAAUUAAUAAUAAUUAAAUGUAAAUGAGCAUUGUUUUGCAACAUCCUGACACACGUUCUCUUGUUAAAGGUUGAAAGUGAAGAUGAAUUUUAAUGCUAGUAGUUUUGAUUUGAGUCCAUUGAAAAGGGUGCCUAAUUUUCUGGAAUACCGGGAGGAAGAAAUGAUCAUUUACAAGUAAGCCUGUUAUUCUAUAAACCUGCUGUCCUUUCAGUUAAAAUGUUUGGCUGUGUUGCCUUCUCUAUCACCCUUCCAGAUCACUUGCAUUAAGGCCAAGGCCUCAACACUGUUCAGGGUAAGGUAACUUUUCUUUGGUUUUUAUGGGUUAAAGGAAUAAAGAGCACAGAAGCAGAAAGCACGACAAGGGGCUGGGAGAUGGUUGACAGCUUGUACUGAAGUUGUGAGUCUUAGCGAGAGACUAGUUCCUGUAGGCAUGGCUAGAGUGGAAGGUGCAGUAGGGCGCAGCAGGCUCACAGAACUACGCCUGACCAUGGGAGAUCUGUUAACUAUGCACUGACUUAAAAUCAGACAGUUCACACAUACAGAAGAGCUGUGUGUGGUAGGGCACACCUGUGAAGUGGACACUUAAGGUUCUUUGGAGAGUCAGUUGUGUUGAUGGGGUUUUGUUGGGGCAAACACAUGAAGGAGUGUUUUCCUGAAGUGGACACAGGUGAAAGACUAAGGCAGACUCGUGAAGGAACGUUUCACUGAAGCAGACACAGGAGAGAGGAUGUUCUGCUAAAGCAAGCAUGUGAAAGGACACUCGAUGAAGGAUUCAUUGCUAACAACACACAUGUAUUGGUUCACCAUACAUUGUGUAGUUGAGCUGCACUUGUUGCGACUCCACAGACAGAAAUGCACCAAAAAACUUCUGGUGGUAUGCUGCAGUUUCUUGCAGCUUCUGCGGACUCAGGCUGAUUGGCAGAGUGGUGUGAGCUGAGACAAACGCACAUGCUGAGGCAAGACCCGUGGAGGACUCCUGAUAUUUGGAGGGUAUAAAAUAGGACUCGACGGACAGUACUGAGGGCUGAGCUAGGCUUGCUUAUAGAGCUAGCUGUGCAACGCGUAUGGGUCUCUUCGGUGAUCUUCGCUUCCCUGAGAGAGGCACAGCCAAGAACUCCUGGCGUUCCUCCUGGUCCCUCCUGCUGACUCAUGCCAAGGCUGAGGCCUGGCUGUCUCUGCUAGGUGGUGCCACUGCUGCUGAUUCCUGUUUGCUAUCCAGACUCUACUGAACUGCUGGUGUAUCCAUGAAGUGUUUGCGAGUGGAAGGAGCUGCUGCUGCUGCUGCUGACUGUGGACUGAACUGCUGAUUUCCAGACAACACAGAUGGGAGUUGCUCCAAAGAACCUUUCUAAACAGAAACAAUGGGCUCUUCUGUGUGGACAGUGAAGCUCCAUGUCUCCUGGAGAGAAAGAACCCAAGUUUCAAAGAGGUCACCUCUGAAGGUCACCAUUCUGUAACCCUGUGCCAGGAGGUAGAAAGGGAUGAGAGCUAACCAGGACGCGGUGAGAGCUGGCAACGUUGGGCUUAGGUUGUGACACAGGGCGGCACUGGCUGACGUCCAAGGCUACGUUUCCUGAUGUGGCAGGCUCUUUAUAAGAGAGCAGGCAAUGGAGCAUCCUCCAGUGGGCGACAGGGCAGAAGAGACUGUACUCCACUCAGCCCCACCCUGACCCCCAUCCCUGAUUUUCUUGUAGACAGGAUACAUUUUGGGUGAAAAGUUUUGUGGGUGGGUUGGUACCCCUAUCACUCUACUGGGGUUCCUAUCUGGCUACAGGAGGUGUCCUCUUCAGGUUCCACAUCCCCAGUGUAGUGAGUCACAGCUAAGGUCAUCCCCAUUGAUUCUUGGGUGCCUUCCUUAUUCCAAGUCUCUCUCUGGUCCUAGAAAUGCCCCCCAUCUCUCCAACUCUGUCAGUUGCAGAUUUCCAUUCAUUCUUAUGGCCAACUGGCCAUCUCUCCUGAGCCAGGGUCUUGUGAUUUUACUCUUCCUAGCUUGGAACUUGCUGUAUAGACCAGUGUGACCUCAGAUCCACAGAGUUGUGGCUGCUUCUACCUAUGGAGUACUAGGAUUAAAGGAAGACCACACACACAUGCACACGCACAUGUUCUUGAUCUUUUUGUAAAUCAUGUAACUUACUUUCACACAUUUAAAGCAUAGCAGUUCUCAAAAGAUUCUAAGACAAGUAUAUUGUAUUAAUACUCAGCUAUAGUUAGCAACAUUUAGCUUUUAACUUAAUGUCCCAGAGGAACAAUGAAGUUGGAAGGUGAAUUAGUCCAGAGGUCAGAGAAGUUACUAGCUUGGGCAUCAGUACUUGAGUCAUCCUGAUAUCAUGUUAUUUGAAGCCAUAGGAUAAUCUGAGAAUGAGUGUCAAGAAGGUCUGAGGGCUAGGUUCUGUGAGAGGAGUUAGCUCUGGCCAGAGUGGCUUUAAGGACUAGCUCUCCUUAGCCAAGGGACACUCUGGUCCUGUAAGCACUUUAUCCCUAUGGCACUCUCAACUCUUUUUCUUUUGUCACUUUUCAAAGGUUUUGACAGCCACAUAUCCUGAUUCUUGAUCUGUGCAAGGGCACUGAAGAUGGAUGCUUUAGAGGAAGUUACCUGCUGGGAGGAAUCCUUUUGAGAGGGACAAAGGAAGACACUUAACCAUUCUGUUCUGAUCUUCAAUAAACUCUCAAUUGUUA